rnacentral:rRNA from 1 species
GAUGAACGCUGGCGGCGUGCCUAAUACAUGCAAGUCGAUCGAUGAUAGCCUAGCUUGCUAGGAAGGAUUAGAGGCGAACGGGUGAGUAAUACAUAAGCAACCUACCCACGAAGACUGGGAUAGCCCCUGGAAACGGGGAUUAAUACCGGAUAGGUAAUCGGACCGCAUGAUCUGAUUAUUAAAGGUUUAAAACACUGGUGGAUGGGCUUAUGGCGCAUUAGCUUGUUGGUGGGGUAACGGCCUACCAAGGCGAUGAUGCGUAGCCGGCCUGAGAGGGUGAACGGCCACAUUGGGACUGAGACACGGCCCAGACUCC